rnacentral:rRNA from 1 species
AGUGAACGCUGGCGGUAGGCCUAACACAUGCAAGUCGAACGGCAGCACAGUAAGAGCUUGCUCUUACGGGUGGCGAGUGGCAGACGGGUGAGGAAUACAUCGGAAUCUACUUUUUCGUGGGGGAUAACGUAGGGAAACUUACGCUAAUACCGCAUACGACCUACGGGUGAAAGCAGGGGAUCUUCGGACCUUGCGCGAUUGAAUGAGCCGAUGUCGGAUUAGCUAGUUGGCGGGGUAAAGGCCCACCAAGGCGACGAUCCGUAGCUGGUCUGAGAGGAUGAUCAGCCACACUGGAACUGAGACACGGUCCAGACUCCUACGGGAGGCAGCAGUGGGGAAUAUUGGACGAUGGGCGCAAGCCUGAUCCAGCCAUACCGCGUGGGUGAAGAAGGCCUUCGGGUUGUAAAGCCCUUUUGUUGGGAAAGAAAAGCAGCAGGUUAAUACCCCGCUGUUCUGACGGUACCCAAAGAAUAAGCACCGGCUAACUUCGUG